rnacentral:tRNA from 1 species
GCUGCUAUGACCGAGUGGUUAAGGUGCGAGACUUGAACGGCUUCCCAGCUGCCAUGUUAUCUCGUGGGUUCGCCCGCAGAGGUUCGAUCCCUCUUGGCAGCG